GAUUGCUCAUUAAUCUGGAGGUAAACUGGGAAAGCAGUAGAUAGAGAUGAUAUAGAGAUAUUGCAGAAGUGCAUUUUAGAAACUUCCUUGUCUUGUGAAAAAGAAAAUAACUGCUCCUACCAUUAUACAAUUCAGAUUCUCCAGAGCAAAGAUGGCAAAUACUCACCUUGCAUCCAGAGAGCACACUUUUUACCUACAUUAAGUAACCCUUCAAAGGACAAGAAGAGAGAGAAAAGAUCAUGUGUGUUUUGCUAAAGACAGUCAAAAAGAAUUGGAUGUGUUAGCAUUCAUUUUUGCACCUGAGAUUGUACUGCAGCGAUGACCAAAACCUAAUGACAGAGGAUUCAUGAAUGCAGAACGCAGAAUGAGGCAGACAUUGAGCUGAGUAUGAAAAGCAUUAGAACAUCUAGUUCUAAAUGUCCAAAACCACAGAAUUUAGCUUCUCUGCAACAGCCCACGGUAAUGUCACAGGCUGUGAAUGAGCAAUAGAAACUUGCAGGAGAGGAGUGUGAAGAAAAAGCUAAAAUCCUCCAUGCUGCUGAAGGAAUGACUGUAAUGAACAUUGCAGUUCAUAACCAAUAUUCUCCUUUGUCCAUCUGUAGGCAGCUUUUACCUUGUUGCAGCUGUACUCUCACCCUCAGGGAAAUGAGUGACAACCUUUAAACCAGCCACACUGGCUCGCACAAGGAGCCCUGUCCAGCCUGUGGUGGUGAAAGCCUGUGAAGGAUGGACUAAAAAGCUCAGGAAUGAAUGAAACCAAUUGGAAACAUACAGUAUUCAGAGGUCCGAGACCUGGGUCAUCGGGGGCACCCCAUUGUCAAGAGUCGCAUAGAGCUACCCUUGAAAUCACUGCUGUCUUUUCCUCCCACGUAACUUACGGUCUCGCCCUGACCUGCAGCUGCCUCCUCCUCCUCCCUGGCCU